rnacentral:rRNA from 1 species
UGGGGAAUAUUGCACAAUGGGGGAAACCCUGAUGCAGCGACGCCGCGUGAACGAAGAAGGUAUUCGUAUCGUAAAGUUCUGUCCUAUAGGAAGAUAAUGACAGUACCAUAGAAGAAAGCUCCGGCUAAAUACGUGCCAGCAGCCGCGGUAAUACGUAUGGAGCGAGCGUUGUCCGGAAUUAUUGGGCGUAAAGGGUACGCAGGCGGUUUAAUAAGUCGAAUGUUAAAGAUCGGGGCUCAACCCCGUAAAGCAUUGGAAACUGAUAAACUUGAGUAGUGGAGAGGAAAGUGGAAUUCCUAGUGUAGUGGUGAAAUACGUAGAUAUUAGGAGCAAUACCAGUAGCGAAGGCGACUUUCUGGACACAAACUGACGCUGAGGUACGAAAGCGUGGGGAGCAAACAGG